AGUAGUCUUUUUUUUUUUUUUCCUUCCAAAAACAUUUCUAGUGACUUCAGAAGUAAAAAUACAUGUCAAAAGUUGCUUAGCUUUUCAAUUCCAACAUGGUUCUGUUACAACAGUAUCCAUAGGUCUUUGCCCUUUUAUGCUAGGUCUUUGAUAUCUUCAUAACAUCAGGAAGCUUGUUUAUCCAUACAAUGAGGGCUGUGUAAAAAAAAUCUAGAGAUUACAUGACUUCAGAGUUUGUUUAGGUCUGUGGCACAUGGGAAUAUGCAGUCUGUCCAUUAGUUUAAGGGGAGACUUUUUAUCCUUCCUAGGCUAAACCGUGUUUUUAUUCUGACAACUCUCAGGUGUGACUUAUAAAACUGCUGGAUCUCAUAUUACAUGGGCUGCUGAACGUGACAAGAUGUCAGCUCAGUUCUGGAAGCAUCAAGAGUACGAGGGCUGGAUGAAGCUCCCUGUGCUGAAAUCAGCGAUGACUUGAGGAUGCCAUGCCCAAAUUCUGUUGUUUUCUCCAAGUGAAAGGUUACUUCUUGCAGUGACAAACUAAGGAGGCCUGAAGAAAAAGAAAUAAAAGGAAAUAAUGAAUGUGUAUGCUUGACAAGCCAAGACAGCAACUGAUGAGGAAUGUGGAAUAAGUUUUCUACCAUUUACUUCAAACACUGUAUACUGAGAAUAAAUGACAGAUUGAUUAGUAA